rnacentral:rRNA from 1 species
UUAUAAGAGACAGCAGCAGCCACGGUAAUACGAAGGGGGCUAGCGUUGUUCGGAAUUACUGGGCGUAAAGCGCACGUAGGCGGAUAUUUAAGUCAGGGGUGAAAUCCCAGAGCUAAACUCUGGAACUGCCUUUGAUACUGGGUAUCUUGAGUAUGGAAGAGGUAAGUGGAAUUCCGAGUGUAGAGGUGAAAUUCGUAGAUAUUCGGAGGAACACCAGUGGCGAAGGCGGCUUACUGGUCCAUUACUGACGCUGAGGUGCGAAAGCGUGGGGAGCAAACAGGAUUAGAUACCCCGGUAGUCCCUGUCUCUUAUAC